rnacentral:rRNA from 1 species
CUGCGGCGGAUUAGCUAGUUGGUGGGGUAACGGCCUACCAAGGCGAUGAUCCGUAGGGGGCGUGAGAGCGUGGCCCCCCACACUGGCACUGAGACACGGGCCAGACUCCUACGGGAGGCAGCAGUGAGGAAUAUUGCACAAUGGGCGCAAGCCUGAUGCAGCAACGCCGCGUGAGGGACGAAGGCCUUCGGGUCGUAAACCUCUUUUCUGGGGGACGAGUAAGGACGGUACCCCAGGAAUAAGUCUCGGCUAACUACGUGCCAGCAGCCGCGGUAAAACGUAGGAGGCGAGCGUUAUCCGGAUUUACUGGGCGUAAAGCGUACGCAGGUGGCUUCGUGAGUCGGACAUGAAAGCUCCUGGCUUAACUGGGAGAGGUUGUUCGAUACUGCGGGGCUUGAGGUUGGGAGAGGGACGUGGAAUUCCCGGUGUAGUGGUGGAAUGCGUAGAUAUCGGGAGGAACACCAGUGGCGCAAGCGGCGUCCUGGCCCACACCUGACGCUGAGGUACGAAAGCGUGGGUAGCAAACAGGAUUAGAUACCCUGGUAGUCCACGCUGUAAACGAUGUCAACUGGGUGUCGGUAGUUUUACACUAUCGGUGCCGAAGCCAACGCG